AUUGAACGCUGGCGGCAUGCUUUACACAUGCAAGUCGAGCGGUAACAGGCCUUCGGGUGCUGACGAGUGGCGAACGGGUGCGUAAUGCAUCGGAACGUACCCAGAGGUGGGGGAUAACGCAGCGAAAGCUGUGCUAAUACCGCAUGUGAUCUGAGGAUGAAAGCGGGGGACCGAGCAGCAAUGUUUGGCCUCGCGCCUUUGGAGCGGCCGAUGUCGGAUUAGCUAGUUGGUGGGGUAAAGGCCUACCAAGGCGACGAUCCGUAGCUGGUCUGAGAGGACGACCAGCCACACUGGGACUGAGACACGGCCCAGACUCCUACGGGAGGCGGCAGUGGGGAAUUUUGGACAAUGGGCGCAAGCCUGAUCCAGCAAUGCCGCGUGCGGGAAGAAGGCCUUCGGGUUGUAAACCGCUUUUGGCAGGAACGAAACGGUGUCCGCUAAUACCGGGCGCUAAUGACGGUACCUGCAGAAUAAGCACCGGCUAACUACGUG
rnacentral:rRNA from 1 species